rnacentral:lncRNA from 1 species
AAAGCUAAGUAGCAAGCUAGCUAGCUACAAGUAGCAAGCUAACUAGCAGAAGAAUGGCUCUUUCCACAACAGAAUACAGCAGUCUUCUCCAAAAGAUUACUGAACUGGAGACUACAGUGCGAGGAAUACAAGUAAACAUUGAGGUUAAUGGACACUGUGGAUAUGAUAAUGAUACGACUGUGCCGCUGUUUCAAAACAGCGGAGUGGAUAAAGCUAACUCGCUACCAGCCCGUGCUAACAAAGCUAUCAGGCCUAGGGAGGAUCCUGUUCCCGUUGAUAAGCCAACAGGUGCGAGUCCUCCCUGGAAUACUCUGGGAGCUAAGCCUAAGAAAAAGUCAUAUCCACUUCAAAGGCUAACGGGCCGAGCAAAGCGCCCUGAUAUCAAUAAUGAGACGGACUGGCCUGCACUGGCUUCGCAGACUGCAGCCUCAACAUCAACUCCCUUGUCUGCCCAGGCACAAAAGUGGACAUCUGCUAAAGGCAGGAGUAUCACCAAGUCACAAACCCAGUUUCAUGUAGAACUGGGUAAUCGAUUCGCCCCACUGCUGAAUGACCUAGGAUCUGGCUCUAAUGAGGUCAACACACAACCUUCUGGAACUGCGAAGACUGAAAGUGCUUCAGGAAAACAAAAGCGACAGGGUAGGCCAAAGCAACAACCUCACACACUGAUAGUGGGAGACGUUUCUGUUAAAGAUGCUCAGAAGAUGUUUAGCAGCAACGUGAAAGUGAUCUGCUUACCUAAUGACACAGUAUCAGACCUGGCUGACAAAAUCUUGCAUAUCGUUGCAGAUUACCCACAUUUGAAAAAUGUUGUGAUUCAUUUUGGGUUAAAUGAUUUAGCCAAGGAGGAGUCUGAGGUGUUAAAGCAGGAUUUCACCCAUCUGCUAAAAACUGUGAGCUGUAUACAGCCUAAAGUGUUCAUCAGUGGCCCGAUACCUCCAGUCCGCAAAGGAGAUCUGAAAUUCUCAAGGAUUUACUCUUUGAAUAAAUUUCUGUCUUCGG